rnacentral:rRNA from 1 species
UACGUAGGCAGCAAGCGUUGUUCGGAGUUACUGGGCGUAAAGAGUGCGUAGGCGGUCCUGUAAGUUUGGUGUGAAAUCUCCCGGCUCAACUGGGAGGGUGCGCCGAAGACUGCAGGGCUUGAGUAUGGGAGAGGUAAGCGGAAUUCCUGGUGUAGCGGUGAAAUGCGUAGAUAUCAGGAGGAACACCUGUGGCGAAGGCGGGUCUCUGGGCCGGAACUGACGCUGAGGAGCGAAAGCGUGGGGAGCGAACAGG